rnacentral:rRNA from 1 species
GAUGAACGCUGGCGGCGUGCUUAACACAUGCAAGUCGAACGGGAAACCUUUUAAUGAGGCUUCGGCAGAUUUAGCUGGUUUCUAGUGGCGGACGGGUGAGUAACGCGUGGGUAACCUGCCUUAUACAGGGGGAUAACAGUCAGAAAUGACUGCUAAUACCGCAUAAGCGCACAGGACCGCAUGGUCCGGUGUGAAAAACUCCGGUGGUAUAAGAUGGACCCGCGUUGGAUUAGCUUGUUGGUGGGGUAACGGCUCACCAAGGCGACGAUCCAUAGCCGGCCUGAGAGGGUGAACGGCCACAUUGGGACUGAGACACGGCCCAGACUCCUACGGGAGGCAGCAGUGGGGAAUAUUGCACAAUGGGGGAAACCCUGAUGCAGCGACGCCGCGUGAAGGAAGAAGUAUCUCGGUAUGUAAACUUCUAUCAGCAGGGAAGAUAGUGACGGUACCUGACUAAGAAGCCCCGGCUAACUACGUG